ACUUGACCAGAACGGAGUUUUUUCGUCCCUAGUAUUAUUUGAUGAUUUUAUCAUGUUAAUUUCCAUCCAAAUGGCUAUGAACAAGCCAGUGAGUUUUGGUUGUUUCUAACAUUUAUUUCCCAGGUCUACCUAAUACUCGACUCUUCAAUACUGGCAUCGCCUGAGGGGAUAUCUCCUGAUCUGUUUUACAGCAGGGUUAACAAGAUAAUUCUCCCUCGGUGCCUUUAUUUUUGCACCGCGUAAGCAUUUAUUUCAGGUUAUCAAGUGAGGCCACGUGAACCGACCAAUGCAGAAACCAUCCUUCAAUCAAGUUAAUACAAUGUCAAAAACGUCACCAGGCUAACGAUGUUAAACGUAGUGUAGACGCCCGCCCGAGCAUCAGUGUGAACGGAUAAAAAAGGCACUUACGAGGAUGACCCGCAAAGAUUCCUAGUUUCAAGACCCAACAAAAAGCCUCCAGGAAGUGAAGUCGGCAGAUGGAUUCUUUGCAGACCGUUUCGAGAUACCACUAAGGAUGUUUUUUGCUUCCGUUGCGUCUUCAUUCCUACUUGAGACCUGUAGGCUCGGGUGUCACCAGAAGUCACCCUCCUCCCCUUUGCCCAACGAGGAGAUAAAGUCUUGGGGCGCCUGGGUGGCUCAGUCGGUGAAGCUUCUGACUUCAGCUUGGGUCAAGAUCCCACCACCAGGGAGUUCAGGGCUGGCCUGGGGCUCUGUGCUGACAGCUCAGAGCCCAGAGCCUUCUUUGGAUUCUGUGUCUCUCUGCCCCUUCCC